GAUGAACGCUGGCGGCGUGCCUAAUACAUGCAAGUCGAGCGAACAGGCGAGGAGCUUGCUCCUCUGACGUUAGCGGGACGGGUGAGUAACACGUGGAUAACCUACCUAUAAGACUGGGAUAACUUCGGGAAACCGGAGCUAAUACCGGAUAAUAUAUUGAACCGCAUGGUUCAAUAGUGAAAGACGGUUUUGCUGUCACUUAUAGAUGGAUCCGCGCCGCAUUAGCUAGUUGGUAAGGUAACGGCUUACCAAGGCAACGAUGCGUAGCCGACCUGAGAGGGUGAUCGGCCACACUGGAACUGAGACACGGUCCAGACUCCUACGGGAGGCAGCAGUAGGGAAUCUUCCGCAAUGGGCGAAAGCCUGACGGAGCAACGCCGCGUGAGUGAUGAAGGUCUUCGGAUCGUAAAACUCUGUUAUUAGGGAAGAACAAAUGUGUAAGUAACUAUGCACGUCUUGACGGUACCUAAUCAGAAAGCCACGGCUAACUACGUG
rnacentral:rRNA from 1 species